AGCCCCCAGGAGAGAUCGUCGGCGCAGUCGACUAUCCGCCAGAACUCCUUCGAGACGACGCCGUUGUCGAGAACUGUGAAGUAAAAGGUGCCGGGAACCUCUCCUCUGCGAGCACGGUAGUGUCUUCUUCUCCACACCAGUUCUCCCUCUAACGUCUCCACUUGGAACACAGGAUCGUACCACAUCGAGUUCUUGGUCCCGCGGUAGUAGAGCUGGAUCUGGUUUGCGAAGUGAUCGUAGGCAGCGUUCUGGCCAGCGGCCACCCUCCAGCUCCACUUGAGUGUCCCCAGCCAGCC
rnacentral:lncRNA from 1 species